UACAGAGGGUGCGAGCGUUGUUCGGAAUUAUUGGGCGUAAAGGGCGCGUAGGCGGUGCGGUAAGUCACCUGUGAAAUCUCCUGGCUCAACUGGGAGCUUGCAGGCGAAACUGCCGUGCUGGAGUGUGGGAGAGGUGCGUGGAAUUCCUGGUGUAGCGGUGAAAUGCGUAGAUAUCAGGAGGAACACCUGUGGCGAAAGCGGCGCACUGGACCACAACUGACGCUGAGACGCGAAAGCGUGGGGAGCAAACAGG
rnacentral:rRNA from 1 species